rnacentral:lncRNA from 1 species
AGUUGCCCUCAGCCCUCACAGGCCCUGGGGUCGCCGCACCUGGGCCAGAGACCUAGGAUGCCGCGAGGCGCGGCAAGCGCUCCCUAGGGAAGCCGAAGACCUUGCCUGAGCGCACCACCCGAACCCCGGGCCCACAUUCCGCUCUCGCCCAGAGGCGCGGUUCUCACUCCCUAGCGCUCGUUAGUACCGGGAGCGCCUCAUCCCUUCCUCAGCUGGGCCCCAAGAGCCACUCUGGUAGGCCGUGCACGCCCCGCGCCUCACCUCGUGGGGAUACAGAAACGGAGGAGGGAACCCCAGCCGCGGACCGUAGCUGGCACUACCCGCUCCUGCCGCCGCUCCGCCUCACAUUCAAACCCCGGCAAAAUGGCGCGACAGCGAGCCUGAGGCCAGAGCGCAUGAGCGAGCGGCCCGCUGCAGGGGGCGGGGCCAGGAAUGCUCUGGCCCCACCCAAGUUCGAAGGGCCAAUCGGGGCCCCGCUCUGUUUCUGCGCUGAUCUCACAAGUGACAAUGCUCUUUGGCUCUGACCAUGCCAGCAGGCUUCACGGUUCUCGUUUUCCAAAGAGGAACACAGAUUCAGCGAGCGGCUGCUGGCUUCUGACCCAUUUUGAUGUCAGGGCUUGGCACGUAGGAGGUGUUCAAUGUUGAUCGAUCCAAGGUCGUGCACAUAGGGUCUAAGACGGAAGAGAACUUCCUGCCCCUCUUGGAGCUUCUAUUUUAGAGGGAGACACGGCCAGACAGGUCUCGAACUCCUGGCCUCAAGUGAUCCGCACACCUUGGCCUCCCAAAAUGCUGGGAUUCCAGGCGUGAGCCACCGCGCCUGGCCUGUCCUAGGGAGAAUGAGCCUGAUGACUUUACCAUUUUCCACCUCUAAGAGCCAAUCGCAAAGGAGGCUGGCUGGCAUCUUGUGUCUGUCUAGCAUCUCUACCAGUUUCUGUAGAAAACCCUCAAGCUGUGCCAAGACGAUCAUGUCUGGACACAGCUCUUGGUGUCACGGGGUGUCUCCUCCUACUGCCUAUCGCCCUUUGCAGCCACCAGAAUAAUCAUGCAGGAGCCAGGGCCCCAUAUUAUCUACCGCUGUCCAUCUGCUCUCCAGCACAUCAGAGCAGCCCUUCCCCUGUGUGAGAUUCCUCUCCAGGGCAAGACUUGAAGGGAGCAUCAAGGUUGCAGUGGAAGAAAUAAAUUGGAAGUGGAGCUGGGCAGUUAUUUAUUUAUUUAAAUAGAGACAAGGCCGAAUGCGAUGGCUCACACCCGUAAUCCCAGCACUUUAGGAGGCCGAGGUGGGUAGACGACCUGAGGUCAGGAGUUCAAGACCAGCCUGAUCAACAUGGCGAAAUCCCGUCUCUACUAAAACUACAAAAAUUACCUGGGCACGGUGACACGCACCUGUAGUCCCAGCUACUCAGGAGGCUGAGGCACAAGAAUUGCUUGAACCUGGGAGGCCAAAAUUGCAGUGAGCCAAGAUUGCACUACUGCACUCCAGCCUGGGCGACAGAGCCAGACUCCAUCUCAAAAAAUAUAUAUAUAUAAAUAAAAAAUAAAUAAAUAGAGACAAGUCUCACUGUGUUGCCCAGGCUGGUCUCGAACUCCUGGGCUGAAGCAAUCUGCCUGCCUUGGCCUCCCAGAGAGCUGGGGUUACAGGUGUGAGGCACGGUGCCAGGCUAGAUCUGGGCAAUGUUUAGGAGGCGGGCUCUAGAGCCAGGCUGCAGGGCUUCAAAUCCCUCUGAGUGUCCUAAGUCAAGUUUGUCAACCUCUCUGAGCCCGUACCCCUCUAUAAAAAGGAGGGAUGCUGGUGAUGAUGAUAAUAGUACCUACUUUACGGGGGUUAUUGUGCGAAUUAAUGGCUGAAGAAUGGUUGAAAUAGCAAGAGUCAAAAACAUGAUCAAUAUGGAAAGCCUAGCAGGAGAAAGUACUAAAGUUCAUUGAUGGGGAGAUGGGGAGGGGGACAGAUGGGGUCUCACCGUUUCCCAGGCUGGUCUCAAACUUCUGGCCUCAAGUGAUCCUCCUGCCUUAGCCUCCCAAAGUGUUGGGAUUAUAGGCAUGAGCCACUGUGCCCAGCCAUUAAAUUCUCCUUCUUUCCUCUUUUGGUGGAAGGGAAGGGAGAAGUGAGACUUUACCAGGAGUCCAUGGAAUGUGGCCCAAAGGCCAAGGACAGAGUACCUUCCAGGACUCUCUCAGAGGGCAGCAGGAGCCCAGGGCUGCUUUCUGCCUAUGACAGGUGUGCAGUAGAAGUGGGUCUUCAGAGGCUGGGCGCAGUGUCUCAGGCCUGUAAUCCUAGCACUUCGGGAGGCAGAGGCGGGCAAAUCACCUGAGGUCAGGAGUUUGAGACCAGCCUGGCCAACAUGGUGAAAGCCAGUCUCUACUAAAAAUACAAAAAUUAGCCAAGUAAUUUUUUUUUUUUUUUUUUUUUUUUGAGGAAUCUUGCUCUGUGGCCCAGGCUAGAGUGCAGUGGUGUGAUCUCAGCUCACUGCAACCUUGGCCUCCCAGGUUCAAGUGAUUCUUGUUCCUUAGCCUUCCAAGUAGCUGGGACUAUGGGACUACAGGUGUGUGUCACCAUGCCCAGCUAAUUUUUGUAUUUUUCGUAGAGACAGGGUUUUGCCACAUUGGCCAGGCUGGUCACAAACUCUUGACCUCUAGUGAUCUGCCCGCCUCAGCCUCCCAAAGUGCUGGGAUUACAGGUGUAAGCCACCACACCUGGCCCAUGCCUGAUAGUUUUGAUUCAUCAUGGAUAAUCUGUCAUUAAAAGAAAUUCAGGGCCAAGUCCAGUGGCUCAUGCCUGUAAAUUCCAGCACUUUAGGAGGCUGAGGUGGGAAGAUGACUUGGGCCUAGGAGUUUGAGACCAGCUGGGGCAACGUAGCAAGACCCUGUCUCUACAAUAAAAUUUAAAAAAAUUAGCUGGGCAUAGUGAGGUGUGCCUGUAGUCCCAGCUACUGGGGAGGCUGAGGCAGGAAGAUUGCUUGAGCCCAAGAAUUUGAGGCUGCAGUAAGCUAUGAUGGUGCCACUGCCACUGCACUCCAGCCUGGGAGCCACAGCAAGAUCCUGAAUCAAAAAGAAUUCAUCUGAGGGUUCACCAAGUUGCUGAUGAGUCUCUAGAAAGUACAAGGAGAAUCCUGGGUUUAGCCAUUGAGUCUCAGGAUGCAGGAAUCAAGAUCAUCACAAUACUGGAUAAACAAGGGGAACAACUCAACCACAUAGAAGACAUGGGCCACAAAAAUACAGACAUGAGAGAGGCAGAGAAGACUUUAACAGAACUUAACAAAUGCCAUGCCCUUCGUGUCUGUCCACAUAAUAGAACAAAGAACUUUGGAUGGCUUGGGCACGAGAAAUUGAGGCUGCAGUCAGCUGCAAUGAGGCCACUCACCCCAGCCUGGGUGACAAAGCAAGAUCACGUCUCUUAAAAAAAAAAAUUGGAAACAUUGACAAAGACAGCCAAGAAGAAGGAAGCUGUAGAAGUGUUUUUUGUUUGUGGUUUUUGUGGUGGAGGGAGGGACAAGAGAUAAGAGGUUAACCUCAGCAAAAACCUAGCUGGGCAUGGUGGCACGUGCCUGUAAUCCCAGCAUUUUGGGAGGCUGAGGUGGAAAGAUUGCUUUCUUUCCACCUGGGAUGUGGAAUCACACAUUCUAUGCACACCUAUGAAUCACUAAGACUUCAGAAGUUAAGCUCCCUUUAAGAAAACUCAUUCUUUUUGGAGCAGAGGUUGCAGAACUGUGAUCCCUAACAAAAAUACUGUGUAUAAAAGCUCCAAAACGAAGUAUUAGCUUAAAGUGGCAAUAACUACAACUUUAUAACCAACUAAAUCUUUACCGUGGCUAUGCAACUUUUUGCUUUGUGGCCAGAAGGUUUUUUUGGUUUUUGUUUUUUUGAGACAGGCUGUCACCCAGGCUGAAGUGCAGUGGCACAAACAAAGCUCACUGCAGCCUCGACCUCCUGGGCUCAAGCAGUCCUCCCCACCCCAGUCUCCUGGGUAGCUGGGACUACAGGCGUGUGCCACCACACUUGCUAUUAUUAUUUUGUAGAGAUAGGGUCUCACUACAUUCCCCAGAUUGGUCUCAAACUCCUGGCUUCUAGCAAUCCUCCCACCAUGCCAGACCCUAGACUUAAAAAGUUAGAAUUGGCUGGAUGUAGUGGCUUACACCUAUAAUCCCAAUACAUUGGGAGGCUGAGGUGGGAGGAUCACUUGAGCCCAGGAGCUGAAGACCAAUUUGGCCAACAUAGUGAGACCCCCAUCUCUAUUUUUAAAAAAAGUUAGAAUUUAUUGUGUUACUAAAAGUGAUUUGGAAAAUUAUACCUUUAGUUUAAUUAUUGGGGAAUUACACUGUCAGUCUCUUACCCUUGUGUAUAGAACUAUGUCCAGAAUCAAAUUUAUGUAGAUCCUAAACACUGUUAUGGGAAUCUGAUUAGUAUUUGUCACAUUGACUUAAAAAUUAGCAUCUCAGUUGGCGUGGUACUCACACCUGUAAUUUCAGCACUUUGGGAGGCCAAGGUGGGAGGAUCACUGAGGCCAGGAGUUCAAGACCAGCCUGGGCAACAUGGUGAAACCCCAACUCUACAAAAAAAUACAAAAAUUAGCCAGGCAAGGUGUCUCACUACUGGCCCUAUAGUUCCGGCUAAUCAGGAAGCUGAGGUGGGAGAAUUACUUGAACCAAGAAGGUUAAGGCUGCAGUGAGCUGUGAUUGCACCACUGCUCUCAGCCUGGGCUACAGGGCAAGACCCUGUCUCAAAAAUAAAUAAAUAAAUUAGCAUCUGAAUAUUUCAAAGCUGUCAAUGUGUACUGGCUGAACCAAUAGCCACUACUUGAUCCUUACAAUUACAUUUUGUAACUAGCAACAACAAAGUUAAUAGAUUCAAGAGGCAUAUAAAGAAUCUCAUGACUAGAAUUUUCCCCCUUUCAUUGGUGAGGGACAUAAACUGACCCAAAACUACGGCUUGAUAUAUGUUUUUUAAAUUACUACACAUUAGAAACAGCUAUACUUUUUAAAAUUUUAUUGAUGUACCACCUGAUCAAAGCAUGGGAUAUUUUAAUAGUAUUAUACAUAAUAUUUUUACAUAGAAAACUUUACAUAGCAUUUCAUAUUAUAUAAUUCUGCUUAUUCUUUCAAAAAUUUAUACAUCCAUUGGGCAAGGAAUGGUUUUCAUUAAAUUACCAAUAUUAAAUGCACUUAAUCAUUGUGUAUAGGUUAAACCAAAGUAACUAUUAACUAACUUUUAGGCAUUUUAAGGAGGUAAAACAUACAUUUUACACAUAAAUAUUUGAUGCAAAUAUGCAGAUAAAAUUUUUUAAAAAUUAGAACACUGAGUAAAACACCUUUGAUAGAUUAUAUUGUUUUGUUUUGAGAGCAAGGAUUUCCAGAUAUGUUCAUUCUUUAAAACACUCAGCUUUGGUUUCUUUGUUUCCCAAACUGCAAAGCUGCUGAUAACAAAACUCCAGGAUUCCAUGUGAGUUCAGCUAUGUCUACUUUAACACAAAUAUUAAAACAGAAUUCAGAAAAUGCAGUAUUAAGGAUCCAGCUUCUAUUGAAACCAAUAUCCAUUUGCAUCAUAACAACAAACAUUUGAAUGAGAUGGUCACACUUGUACUUAUCAGCAGGUUCCUUUAAUAACAAAGACUACUAAAUGUAUAUCCUUAAUCACAAAAGAACAACAAAAAAAAUACAGGUUUUUUUUUUUUCAUUUCGUACAAAAGUCACCUGCCAGAGGAAAAUGUUGUGUUUCCAGAUAUUAUAAUACAAUUUUCAUAAUGUAUGUUCUUUGGUUGUACAUGAGGAGUACAGGGAAAAGAUAUAUUUGACUCUAAAGAUGCGUAUCAGAAAUAAAAAUUACCCAUCCACUGUUUGUUGUUAAGAUGCCAAAGCUGGUGAUUUCCCUAACAGACAAUGAAGAGAAACAAAAUUGCUCAAAGCAGCAGUAUUGUAACAAAUAAAAACUUCUCUAGAGACCCAGCACAUAUAAUCAACACUUAAAGCAUUCUGAAAAAGAAAUAAGGCCUUGGAAAAUGUUUCACUCUCCUCCAUUACUUGGUUAAAUAAAUGGUGUCCUGGCCUGAUGUUGCGGUUGUACAUACCCUUUCACUAGUGUUUGAGUGGCACAAGCCACAUUUACCAUGAGAAAGAAGAGAUUUAUUCAUAAAAAUGAAUUUAGGCUGAAUGGCUUAUUAUUGGAGGUAAGGGAUUUCAAAUCUCUGUUCGUCACUGUCCACUGACAAGAAAAAUCACCCUGAAUGGUUUUACAUCCAAUUUUUUAAAAGUCCAUUGCUGGUACAAUUCAAAUGCCUCAUUCAGAAAAUUAAAUCUUUUAAAAUACUAAACUAAUAAGAAAUGUAAGCCUGAAUGUUUCAGCAAGUAAUAAAAUGCACUGACACAUCUGCUACCCCUCAAGAGGCAAAAUUAAAGAGAGGGCAGAAGACACCAGAAAAAUUUUAGUCACAUCCGAUGAAGAAAAUGACAUGAGAACCUCAGAAGGAAAGGAAAAAUAACCAAUCAGGGAUAUAGCUGCACGCAAGAUGGACUUAAUGAAUGAACACGUGUUCCCCAUGUAUACCUUUUGUACAAAUAUCAAUGGAGACGACUGACUUGUUGAGGUGAUGACGCGCUAUGAUACCAGGGAGUGUAGGUUUCAUGGUGCAGUGUAAAGGUGCAGUGGAUUCCAGGGCAAACCAGUCAAAUGUGCUAACAUUUUCCACUCACAGUAAAGUAUUCUCCCAUAGUCCCUUCCUGCUAAAUUAUACAGCUCCUUUUAUCUAAUGUAUAUAAGUCAUGUAAAAACCUAAACCUGCUCAUUUUUUCUUUGGUAGAGAAAUUAAAAAACACUUUUUGGGAAAGAAAAAAGUAGACAAGAAUUCUGCUGGCCAAAACCAAACAUUUCUCAAGGCUGUUAAAACAAGAAAACAACUUAAGAAUAUCGGUCUCUUAGUAAGCAAAAGCACCAGAAAUCCUUCUCUACAAAGAAAAAACAUCUGAUUUUACAGAUAGGUUCCCAAACUACUAACUUCUAAGGCACCAGAGUUGACAUCAAUACAACCCAAUUUACAGGACUAAAGAGCAUAGGUAGAAGUCUGAAAGUUUUAAUCAUUCUGUGUAACACUUUGUCUAACGCUCAGCGAUGCUCUAGGUGAGCAGUGGGUGAGGGCAGAGAAUGAGGCGUGUGUGCUCCUUCUCAUGGGUGAGCAUCCACGUAUACUGCUCACAGGCUUUGGGACGUACUUGUGUACUGCCCACUUUUACACAAGCUGCAGCAGAACUCAGUUCUACUGCAGGUGAGAGUAUUGCACCAUCAUUAACAUAAUAAGGACCUCAGAAUCCAACCUUGCCAAAGAAUUCAACUCCUAGGCUCAGAUUAAUGGAAGUGCUGGGCACAUGCCACCUCCUGCCAUUGUCACAGUUCAGCUGUGCUGGCCCCGACACAGCUCCAGUUCCACCCAUGACAUCUGGCUGAGGAGGCUUAUGGGAGCGGCUUCUCAUGCACAGUUACUGUCCCUCUCUGGAGGGUCCUUUAAUGGGGACUGUGCAAAGCAGUGACACUAACUGCCAGUACACUCACUUUUCUGAGGUGAAAAUAAAAAGGUUUAUUCAAGGAUAAAUGAACUCUGGUUAAAUUACUACUUCAUUUUCAUUACUACUUCAUAUAUUAGAUUUCAGAGUGUGUGAGAUGGACAGUGUAUUCUGGAAAUUUUAAUUUAACACCCAUCCACAAAUACUUAUUUCAAGGAAGGCUAAUCAUCUUCAUUAAAUUGUUCACUUUUUCGUGUAGACUUUUUCUCUCCAUGUUACUAAAACAGGGAGAUCCACGAGGCACAUUUUUUUAACCUCGCAAAACUCUUAAUUCUAACUUAAUUACUAAACUCUGCCUUCAACCAAAUUUUCAAUAUCUUUUUGUAAAAUACUUUAAAAAUCACUCAGACAUUAACAAAACACAAAAACAACUCUUCUCUAAUCCUGACCUGUCCUUAAACUAAUCUAAUUACGGCUGACUCGUAACUGACAAAAACAUUCAAAUUUCUCUAACACACUCAAACAACAGAAAACCCAGCAUAUUUUAGGUGGCAGUUAGCCGUUACAAGAAGUUUUAUUAACAUAUUCUCUAAUAAUCACAAACCUAUACAGCUAUGUUCAGUAUUUUCAAGGAGAGUGACUUCUUACAAAACGUUUAUAGCCAAUCAUGGGAUUUUGCUAGAAAACGAUGGCAUAUGCAAUGACAGAUUUGACAGUUUAAUCAGAAAAAUGGAAUGAUAGAAAUGAAGCAGACUCCCCACCUACUGUGCUAACUGGGUAUGCAACAGUUUAAUGAAAUACCAUAAGCCUUAGUUGGAGACUGUGAUGGAACAGCGUAGAGGCCAUCCGUUUCCAGGCCAUUCUGAGAUCCAAGAUGCCAACUCCUUGUUUCUAUGAAACUUCACGAGAUGUGCCAGUCAGAAAUGGCAUGCUGAACAUUCUGCAGAGCUGCAGCACUGGCCUGGGCAGCCAGGGCUACCACACUGGUGACAGUGCUGCUGGUACCUGUGAUGGCUCUUCUGGUAUCCAUAUCUUAUACACAACACCUAUCCGUAGGAAGAACUUCCGCAGAACUGCUCGGAGCUCAGGGAUCAGGUCAAACUGCAUAAUUUCACACAAGUAGGGGUAGUACAUUGAAGCAUGUGCUUUGAACUUGAGGUGGGAGAGAAACAGAUAAAAUUAGACAAUUUUUUUUUUUUUUGGGCACCAGUUUUUCAGAAGUGUUAAUCUCACCCUGGAACUUAUUACAAUAUUGGUGCUUUUCUUGCUAUUAGAAAGUUGGGGCCGAGCGCAGUGAUUCACGCCUAUAAUCCCAGCACUUGGGGAGGCCGAGGCAGGUGGAUCGCUUGAGCUCAGGAGAUCGAGACCAGCCUAGGCAACACGGUGAAACCCUGUCUCUACCAAAAAUACAAAAACUUAGCUGGGCAUAGUGGCGCGUGUCUGUGGUCCCAGCUACUCAGGAGGCUGAGGUGGGAGGAUCGCUUGAGCCUGGGAGGCAGAAAUUGCAGUGAGCUAGAUUACGUCACUGCAUUCCAGCCUGUGUGACAGACC